rnacentral:rRNA from 1 species
UGGUGGAGCGAUUUGUCUGGUUAAUUCCGAUAACGAACGAGACUCUAGCCUAUUAAAUAGUUCGCCGCUCACGUUACGUCGGCGUCAACUUCUUAGAGGGACAAGUGGCGUUUAGCCACGCGAGAUUGAGCAAUAACA